AUUUGUUGGCGGUUUAUAAAUAAUAAUAUUAUAGAUAGAUGCACGCCAACAAGAAGAAACCACCCAUGCUCCAUAAUGUAAAAUCAAAGCUGCUUUAGUUUUCAUUUUAAAAUCAAUCGGUGGACUUCCAACAGUAUCCACAGUCGAUUACGGUGCCAUGUUCAAGCAGAGCUGACUCCAGGAUAAUAUACACCUAUGUGUAUUGUAUAACACUUUAUCAAGACCAAUAAUCGACGUGAAUGCCUGAAAAAAAUCAGGUAAAUAUAAUUUUUGUUUCAUCUUGGCCUGCUUCUUCUUUCUUUUGAUUUCCACACGAACUUCAGGAGGGACAUUGAUUCUAACCAAUCAGUCCCCUAUCCCUAGGAAUGUUGAAAACGUGCAUUAAUCACCGCUGCCAGAUUUACUCAUGUGCAUUUGGAAGAUCUCUUCACCUUGCAACAUCCUGACGGAGGAGAAGAGAGGGAGUCCAGUCAGUGUGAUCAUACACAGCAGGCUUCCAUAUCAGGUUUCUCUCUCCUGCUGCACAAAUGAUGCCCUCUUUCUCUCCUUAGUGGACUGGUCUGAAAUGGGUCGAUAAGAGGGAGGGGAGGGAGAAGAUACGGAUCAAGUGAAGAUUGAAGUGAAGAGAAAUCAUUGUGAUUACCUAUCAGAAACUGCUCUUUCUUUGAAAAAUGGCACAUUUCACUGAAAAGGUGACAUUACUUACCUCUGGUGUUUGGAAACCUCUGAAAAACAAGUUGCACAACUGACUGGAAUAUCCAAAC